UUUACUAAUUUUCAUUAACGGCCUCACAUCGCAUUUGUCUCUACUUUAAUUAAUUGCAGUAAAAAGUUCGACCUAUUUCUUUUAAUCCAUUUUUUCUUCCUCUUUGCUAAUUAAGUCUGUUUUUAAAUACACGAUAAUACAAGCUUAUAUAUACAAUCUGUGCAUUCUUAAAAAGAAAUGGGUGAACACAGCGGCGCGCAGGUACGCAUAGCAGCAAUUAUUUUAAUUAAAGCCAAUUGCCAAAAUUGACCUAAAUUCUUAUCCAAAAUAUCGUGCAUUGCGAAUCAAAGCGAGAAACACAGAGAAAGCUAAAGGAAAAUAUAUAGAUACGUAUCAAGGUUAACUUGGCAUGCACUUGGAAGGACAACCAACUUGGAAGCGCACAUUUCUGCCAAAAAGAAGCAGCUGAUGCUUAAAUUUUCCAGUUUAUAUUGGCUUUUAAGCAAAAAUCUAGGCUCAACCUUGAAAACAAAGUCCAUCUUUCAAAUGCGAUUACAAAACCGAUAUGUUCGUAUGGAAUACAGUUAUGGCGUACAGCUUGCGUGACAAAUCUAGUUAUAAUACACAGCUUGCAAUCGAAACCAUUGAGAAUAAUAACAGGCGCACUACGGCACAUACGUUAUGAAAACAUCCAAAGAGAUCUUAGCACACGCACAAUCAAGGAAAAGGUUGAAACCGUUACACAAAAGUACAAAUCAGAACUGCACCAUCAUCCGAACCCUUUUGGCUAUCCUAUUGGCCUUCGCAACAAUUAAAAUAAAACGCGCUUGAAGAGAAGGGACUUACUACCUUUGUGAAGAGCAACAUUAAGCCAGAGGUCCAUUGCUAGCUAAGGGCUAUUAUAUUUAUUUGACAACUUAUUGUGAGGCUUCUGAUAAAUUAAUCAAUAAAUAAAU